rnacentral:rRNA from 1 species
AGUCGAGCGAACAGACGAGGAGCUUGCUCCUCUAACGUUAGCGGCGGACGGGUGAGUAACACGUGGAUAACCUACCUAUAAGACUGGGAUAACUUCGGGAAACCGGAGCUAAUACCGGAUAAUAUAUUGAACCGCAUGGUUCAAUAGUGAAAGACGGUUUUGCUGUCACUUAUAGAUGGAUCCGCGCCGCAUUAGCUAGUUGGUAAAGUAACGGCUUACCAAGGGCUACGAUGCGUAGCCGACCUGAGAGGGUGAUCGGCCACACUGGAACUGAGACACGGUCCAGACUCCUACGGGAGGCAGCAGUAGGGAAUCUUCCGCAAUGGGCGAAAGCCUGACGGAGCAACGCCGCGUGAGUGAUGAAGGUCUUCGGAUCGUAAAACUCUGUUAUUAGGGAAGAACAAAUGUGUAAGUAACUAUGCACGUCUUGACGGUACCUAAUCAGAAAGCCACGGCUAACUACGUGCCAGCAGCCGCGGUAAUACGUAGGUGGCAAGCGUUAUCCGGAAUUAUUGGGCGUAAAGCGCGCGUAGGCGGUUUUUUAAGUCUGAUGUGAAAGCCCACGGCUCAACCGUGGAGGGUCAUUGGAAACUGGAAAGCUUGAGUGCAGAAGAGGAAAGUGGAAUUCCAUGUGUAGCGGUGAAAUGCGCAGAGAUAUGGAGGAACACCAGUGGCGAAGGCGACUUUCUGGUCUGUAAC